UACAGAUUGACUUCUUCAUGAGAUUCUUCAUCUGUGGUAGAGUCAUCACUGUUACUCCAUACAGCCAUCAUAGCCUUUUUUUUGAACUUUUUUUUACCUUUCUUGAGCUAGGUACAUUCUAAUCUAAAGUAGCCCAGCUUCUUGCACUCAUAACAGAUGAUGGAUUGUUCUUUUUGUUUUUAUUUACUCGGCUCCUCCUU
rnacentral:lncRNA from 1 species